UUAAUCCUUGUCUGGGAGAGUUGAGAAUGUCAAUGACCGUAUAGUGAGACUUUUUCUGCUGAAAACCCAAAUUAAUCUCGCAUCCGUUAAUUAUUAAUUUAACGAAUGCAAUUUUUGAAGAG